CAUCUUCUUUUAGUCUUGGGUCUUUUUCUUUCACAACCCUACUCAGUACCUCUCCCCCUAUUAUAUAUGGCUGACCCAAACAUGCCCUUCUAUGUGCCCCAAAUAAACUCAGCUCAGCCACCACUACCAUCACCUUUUGUUUUGACCCUAGUUCUCUCCCUACACCGCAACCACUUGACCCUUUACUGUCACACUCUAUCCCUACAACCCCAUGUGAAACCCCUUCCCCAAAACCUCAACCCUCCAACCCUAACACCGUGGCCAUGGCCACCACUUCUGCUGCAUCCAAAAGGCACCCCGUAUAUCGGGGAAUACGCAGCCGGAGCGGCAAAUGGGUGUCUGAAAUCCGGGAGCCUCGCAAAACCACUCGUAUUUGGCUUGGCACCUACCCAACCCCAGAGAUGGCAGCUGCUGCCUACGAUGUUGCGGCUUUAGCCCUAAAAGGUGGAGAUGCUGUUUUAAAUUUCCCUGGUUCUGUUGGGUCCUAUCCUGUUCCUGCUUCAUCAUCUUCCACUGAUAUACGUAAUGCAGCAGCUGCUGCUGCUGCAUUUAAAAAGGCUGAAAUGAAUCAAGCAUUAGCCCAGCUGCCUAGAGAUGAUGAUACCCUUAAUGCCAAUUUCACAGCAGGUGAACAAUUUGUUGAUGAGGAAGCACUGUUUGGUAUGCCAAAUUUGCUGGUAGACAUGGCUGAAGGAAUGCUGCUUUCGCCGCCAAGAAU
rnacentral:misc_RNA from 1 species